rnacentral:rRNA from 1 species
CCCAGACUCCUACGGGAGGCAGCAGUGGGGAAUAUUGCACAAUGGGGGGAACCCUGAUGCAGCGACGCCGCGUGGGCGAGGAAGUAUUUCGGUAUGUAAAGCCCUAUCGGCAGGGAAGAAGAAAUGACGGUACCUGAAUAAGAAGCACCGGCUAAAUACGUGCCAGCAGCCGCGGUAAUACGUAGGUGGCAAGCGUUGUCCGGAUUUACUGGGUGUAAAGGGCGUGUAGCCGGGCUGACAAGUCAGAUGUGAAAUUCCGGGGCUCAACCCCGGACCUGCAUUUGAAACUGUUGGUCUUGAGUAUCGGAGAGGCAGGCGGAAUUCCUAGUGUAGCGGUGAAAUGCGUAGAUAUUAGGAGGAACACCAGUGGCGAAGGCGGCCUGCUGGACGACAACUGACGGUGAGGCGCGAAAGCGUGGGGAGCAAACAGGAUUAGAUACCCCAGUAG